UCAGAUGAUGAGUUUGGAGAGAUUUUGCUAUAUUUUGCUUGCGAGGAAUAUAAUCAAUUAUAUCUAUCUAAGCAACCUUGUAGAAAUUCAGCUCUUUCAGGCCAUGAAUACUUUAUGGAAGUGUUGCACGGCCAUUGGAGUAGGUGUUAUGAUUUGUUCAGAAUGAACAAAGAUGUCUUCAAACUAUUUUGUGGUGUUCUAAAAGAAUUUUUUUUAUUGAAGAACUCACGAUAUCUGUCUGUUGAAGAACAAGUGGCUAUGUUCUUAUUUGUGAUUGGCCAUAAUGAACGACAUCGUGUGGUUGCUGAACGAUUUCAGCACUCCAUCUCAACCACAUCUCAUUAUUUUAAGAAGGUUUUGAAGGCAAUAUGUCGUCUAUCCAAAGAACUAAUUACUCCACCUUCAUUUGAUGUAACUCCUCCACAAAUUCGAUUCGAUCCAAGAUACUAUCCAUUUUUUAAGAAUUGUGUUGGAGCUAUAGAUGGGACUCAUAUUUCUGCGCAUGUUCCAAUUGAUGAACAAAUACCAUAUUGAGGUCGAAAAGUGGAUACAACUCAGAACGUUAUGUGUGUAUGUUCAUUUGACAUGAAGUUCACAUACGUUGUCCCUGGAUGGGAAGGAUCAGCUAAUGAUGCACGGUUUCUUCUAGAAUGUGCCACAAACCCAGAUUAUGGAUUUCCAAUGCCGCCCCAAGGAAAAUAUUAUCUUGUUGAUUCUGGCUAUACAAACCUGCCUGGUUUUCUUUCGCCAUACCAAGGGGAAAGGUAUCAUUUGGG